GGCUAUCCACAUCAGCAACUCUCUUCUCAAAAUUCCACAUCAUCAUUCUCAAAAUUAACUUCUUCUUCUACUAUAAUAAUUUGGCAGUUACAUCCUUUUAUUCUUCAAUUUCCACUAUCCUCAUAACUGUCCUUAAUCCCACUCUCUUCCAAAUUCCAAAACCGUUCAAAAAUUUCACGAUCCAUUUUCCCAAAUUCCUUUUCACUUUUCCUCGCAUAAUUGGGAUUCUUCAUUAUUCUGAAGACAAAUACGCAACCUAUCAUGUUCACGGCGGUGUUUCUUGAGGUUCGUCAACGAUGGCGGUGAUUGGUUUCGCUUUCUGACGACCCUUCACAUUGGCCGGGUUUGAUUAAACGAAUACAGGAAGAUGGUGGAGGAGUUGUACAAAUCUCUUGUGGCUUAAUUUAGAUCUCAGAGUUCUCAUGGAUUUUAUUUCUCUAUGUCUGAUGGUGUUUUGUUCUUGAUUGUAUUGGUAGUUAUGUUUAUAUUAUACUAACCCUUUCGUACUCCUCAUCUCACGGCCUUCCUAAAGUAUUUUGAUUUAAUUUUUGAUUGAUUUGGUGUUGAUGAUGCUCACGGGUAUGUGCGAUAUGUUGGAACUGGUGAACACCUUCCCUGAAGAGAUGUCUCUGUUGGAAAGCAUAAAAGAGUGUAUUUGAUUUUGGAGUUUGCACCUAAAGGUGAACUUUACAAGGAGUUACAUAAAUGCAAAUAUUUUAGAGAAAGACGUGCAGCUACUUAUGUUGUGUCAUUGGCCCUAGCCAUCAUAUAUUUCCAUGGAAACCAUGUAAUUCAUAGGGACAUUAAACCAGAGAACCUUCUUAUCGCUGCUCAGGGCGAAUUGAAGAUUGCAGAUUUCGGAUGGUAGGUACACACAUUCAACCGUAGGAGGACCAUGUGUGGCACCCUGGAUUACCUUCCACCCGAGAUGGUGGAGAGUGUAGAACAUGAUGCAAGUGUAUAUAUAUAUAGAGCCUUGGCGUUCUUUUCUACGAGUUUCUUUAUGGAGUCCUGCAUUUUGAGGCCAAAGAACAUUCUGAUACUUAUAGGAAAGUAGCAGUCACUAAGUAGUUGAAUUUAUAUCAUCAUGUAAUUGUACCUUUGUGUAAUUCUAUAAUGUUUUGUUGUUCAUUUGGCUUUGAGGAGGACAAGAAUUUCCAUGUUGUUUUAAAUUUUGUAAUAGCUGGCCGCUAUCAUGUCACCGAGUAUUUGUGAUCUGCGGCACUCACUAAAGCAAUUCAACUCAAAGCCUACUUAUACGAGUUUCAUAAAUUUAACAGAGAAUCAAGAGGGGAACUUUACUUUACAAUGCCAAGAUUGCAGAUGAUUGGCCUCACAAAGCCAACUUCUGGGGCAGCCUAUGUUCAAGGCCUCGACAUAAGAAAUCAUAUGGAUGGAAUAUAUACUAGCAUGGGAGUAUGUCCACAACAUGACUUGCUGUGGGAAAGCUUAACGGGUAGAGAGCACCUACUUUUUUAUGGAAGACUUAAAAAUCUCACAGGUUCACUCUUGACUCAUUGAUAUUGUUAUAGGCGGUAGAAGAAUCUUUGAAGAGCUUAAACCUUUACCAUGGAAGAAUUGCUGAUAAACAAGCUGAAAAAUACAGUGGAGGGAUGAAGAGGAGGCUCAGUGUUGCAAUUUCAAGGUUGCUUAUUAAAUCUCUGUUUCUUCUCUGCUACUUUCCUUUAUCUUGAGAAUACGAGCUUCAAUGUUGGAAGGUAAUCUUAGGUUUUUGUUUCUAUGUUGGCAAUUGUCAUACAAUUUAUUUCUUCGUAAUUAGAUUAUGCAAAACAGAAGUGACUUUGGAUGAUUAUGAAGAGGGGUUGAUAGCUAGCACUGAAGCAGCUAAGACAUGGAGGAAUGCGAGUUUUUUUUAUAAAAUAUUUAAAUUUGUUUGAUUUUUGUAUUUGAGGUUUCUGUGGUUUGUGUUGUACUACUGUAUAUUACUUUUAUGGUAUAAUUGCGAAUUUGCGAUAGGCCAAUAGGUCAUACUGAAUAUAUGUGGAAACUAAAUGAGGAUGAACUUGUGAUGUUUUUUUUUUACAAGUUCCGGCACCCAAAAGAGGUGAGAUUGUAAGACAGAUUGGGGAAGCAUUGAGGGCUAAGUUGGAUCCACUUGGUACAUUCUGAUGGGAAAAAUUCUUGCAGAAGGAAUUGGUGCGGUGCUGCACAGUGCAAUAUUACCAAUAUAUUGAAUCAUGUCGCAUAGCUGCUAAACUGAAAUGUUGUGAUCAAUGCGAAAUGUCAUCACCAUGAAGGUCGCAUAUACAAUUUCAUAGGAGAAGCUUUCCGAUCUCAUACAGAAAGAAGAAUUCAAAAGAGUGAUAGAAUCGAUGCGAUCUCAUAGCAGGCAUGGUGUUGAUUGAAGGGAUAUAGAGGCAGAUGCCUUUGUAGAAAAUGGAAGGAUGGUGGAAUAUUUAUUUGGUAAAGACGGAAAAGGUUUCCUCGGACAUGAUAAAUUUGUGCAGUUUAUAAGAGAUCUUAUAUAUAAUUGUGUAUGUAAACUAAUUACAAUUUUGUGUAUAGAUUUUGAGGCUGGAGUUUGUUCAUUAUGACUUCAAAUCGUGAAAAAACAUAUCAGCAAAGCAGUUUGUAUCA